GAAAGGCUAUGUCAUAUCGAAUAAGUUAGGACACAACAUAUCGACUUCCCGAGAAUGAGUUUAUUAUUUUUGUGUUAAUUAAAAUGGACAUUUGAUUUCUUAGAUCCCGAGGAAGAUUGGAAUCUAGUAAGUUAGGGCACAAUCUUUUCGAGGAUCACAAAUUCCGAGUGUCGCAUUGUUUUGAAAGACUUUUGUAUAAAAUGGUUUUGAUAUUUGAAUAAUAUGAAACGUAACCUUUUAAGCAAAUAAAAUGUGAUAGAACGAUGAUGUACAACGUGAAAUGAUAGUUCGUAAGCCAAAACGUACACUAAUGUAUGAAGAAUAAUCAAGUAAAUAAGCAAUACAAUACAUAGGAGUAAUAAUUUCGUAUCUCACAUUGUGCAAAUACUAACAUCCAUGUUUGAAAAUCUAAUUAAAAAAUAAUCAAGGAAAUACUAAACAACUUAACACAAAUAAAAUGCGCCAAAAAGGUAAUAUGAGAAAAAGAGAUUUGAAUGCAUAUUCACAAAAAUUGCAUGAAUGAAAUUUUAAAAGGAAAUAAUUAAUGCAAAAACUUGACAACAUUUAAGAAUAGGAUUAAAAUGAAUAUUACAUGAAAUAAUACUACCUAAAUGAACUUUAAAGUAAGUAUUAUAAAAAAGAAAUCAAAAUAAGUAAAACUUAAAAUAACAUACUUGUAUUAGUCAAAAUAGGCAAUAUAUAUGAAAUGAAAACUCAAUAUAGAUAAUAAUAUAAUAUAUAUGAAAAGUUGAGAUAGCAAAAUAAAAAUAGAAUAUUAAAAGAAAUGAAGUGUAUACAUGCAUAUAAUAGGUAAAAAAAUGAUUCGAAACCAAUAAUAUAAUAUACGUCUAUGUAUAAAUUAGUACUAUAUUAUAUAAAAUAUUUUCCGAAAAAAGUGGCAGAUCAAAAGUGAAUAAGAAAAAUAUAUAUUAUAGAAUAAAUAAAUAAAAUAAAUCAAGCAAACAUAUAAACUUAUCAAGUUCACAUAAAGAUAAAAUAAAAUAGAUUCAAACAAUAUCCAUGAUAGUAUAUUAUAAAAAGGUAAUAACAUAUAAAACUUUAAAAGAAACUUAAAACAAUAAUACCUAUAGAACAAAAUAAUGUAUAUAUAUAUAAUAUACAAACGAAUAAUAUAAUAGUAAUAGUAAAAAUAUUGAUAAUAAUGAAAGUAGUAGUAACAAUAACAAUGAUAAUAAUAAUUAAAAUAUUAAACUAAUUAAUAAAAAUAAAAAAAAAAACACAAAAAGGAUUAAAUCGCAAUCAAAAUCUAAUUAAUAGGGAAGAAAUAAAAUUAAACUAAAGAGGAGGCCCAUUUUGCAACACGCGAAUUACAUGGGGGGCCGAUUGGAAAAUAUCUCGCUUCCCCAAAACGCACAGUCUCAACAGGACCAGAUUAAAAAUCGAAUGAAAUCUAAGGUAUUAAUCAAAUAAGAUAAAAAAAUUAAAAUAAUUAAAAAAGUAGAGGGUCCAAAUGCGCAAAUAAACCAUUGAGAUGAAACGUGCGAAUCCUUCCCUUGGGUCGAGUCACCGCGCGGGUCAAAGGCCACUAAACAUCGCCGUAUAAUACUACUACUAAAGUAACAGUUCAAAUAAAAAAAUCAGUUGUUGCCUAUUUUUUUAAAUGUUUUGUGCUCUGCUAGGGUUUAGCCCUAGUUUCUGCCGUCGUUCGCAACACAGGCCAUUCAAGGGCCACUAUAUCCUCGUCCUACUCCGAUUGCGACGGAGAAAAUGAAGAACUAGCCACCAGGUAACCUCUGCACCCUCUACUAUCUUUAUAUUUUUAAGUAUCGUUCCCGAAUGAUGAACCAGAGAGUAAAGAAAUGGAAUCAGAGAAGGGAAAGAAAAAGAAAACGCAGAAAAGCAAAACAAAAUUCCUAUUCACCUUUAGAUUUUUCUGAAUAUUUUUCUAUUUCUUGUAUUCAAUCUCUCCGUAAAAAAAUCCAUUUACAGAUUUCGUUGGCUCUUUUUAUAGCCAAAUAAUAAAAAUUGCAAACUGAAAUAACAAAAAUACAAUGUUUUUCUCUUUGUCUCUGCUGCGUUUGUUUGCUUGCGCGCAGGUACGGUCGUAUGGGGCCAGCUGGGGUGCACGAAGGUGCGUGACGUGGCUCGGUGCAUACGAAGGCAGAGGCUGGGUCCUGGUUGCUGCAGCGCUGGGAUCUCCUAGGGUUCCCUGCUUCUAAUUUUCUUGUUUUGGGCUGUAUGAUAGUUGGGCUAGGUGUAAUUGGGUCUGUAAUUUUUGCUAUUGGGCUGGGUUAAUCUGUAUUGGGCCUAGAGUCUAUAAAUGGACAUUUAAAAUGGACUAUUUUUUAUUUGUUUUUUUUAUUAUAUUUUUGUUUAUUUAUUUCUGAUUUGGGCCGGGCAAUAUUGGGCCAUUACAGUGUAAAAUGUAAAAGUUGCAUUCUACUUGUUAAAUGUAUUAAAUAGCUACGAAAUAUUAAAUUAGAGGUCCUUAUGUUGUAAUUAGACCAUAAUUAAAUUGAGUGGACAUUAAUGAGCAUAAUAUCAUGAAAUUUGAUGGUUUUUCAUUAAGGUUAAUUUAGUAAAAUGAUAAAUAACAUAAGUUAAAUAAAACAAAAGCUAAAAUUUGGUGUUCAUCUUCUUCCUUAACCAAAAAUAAGCGAGGAAUACACCAUUUUUGAGCUUUAAAAAGUUCGGCCAUAGUUCCUUAUGCAUGGUAUGUAUUUUUGGCUCGGUUUUUGAUGAUUUCUAUGGUUUUGUAAUCGUUGCAGCUAAAUCUAGCUAGCCCGUACCUUUAAUUUCAAAUUUUUUUAAAGAUUUGAGAGUUGCCAUUGUUGAAUAUAUGUGUUCUUUGAUGUUUAAUGUUGAAAUAUGAAAGCUUGAUGAUAGUUUUACAUGUUUUGUAAAGUAAUUUUUGCAAAAAUGUCAAAUAGGGAUAAAAUUGAGAAAUGUGUAAAUUGAGUGGUUGAAAUGUGAAAUAAAUGCAAAUUUUGGGCUUCUAAGGACCUCUAAUAAAUUCAGCUAAGCAUGGUGUAUUGAAAUUUUGUGUAAUUUGUGAUUUUGUGAAAUAGGGACUAAAUUGAAUAAAUGUGAAACUUUAGGGGCUAAAGUGAAAAAUGCCCAAAUAGAUAUUUUUGAAUGAAAUUGAAUGAAUAGGUGAUUAAAUGAGCUAAAUUUGAAUUCAUAUAGAUCAAGAAAGAAAGAAAUCGAAUUUAGAUCGGGGGAAAUUGAAAGUUGACGAGUAGUCGAUCCGAUCUGUUAAUCGUAUAUACGAGGUAAGUUCAUAUCCAAAUAAAUACCUUUAAAUGAUUUAUAUAUGUUUAUUUGUUAUUGAAUUGCUUUGGAUGCUGAAUAUUUGAAUACGAGAAAGUAUCAACCGAAUUACGAUGUCCAAAAUCCCCGUACGAACCAUAGGAAUAGUAUAGGAUACGUAUGUCAUGACAUUAGGAUUUCGAGGUGUGGUUUCGUGUAAGAGCCUGCCUGGGACAGUGGCAUUGAUAUAUUAUAAUAUGUAAGAUCAUAUAUGGGAUAUGGCAUUGUACGAGCUUUAUGUACUAUCCGAGUAUCUUUAUCAAUUUCGAACAGUUCAACGGGCAAUGUUGAGAAGUGGAUGAAUAUGAGAAUGAGUAAUCAAUUCAGGUAUGUAUGAUGUUAUAUGAAAAUUUAAAAGGUUAAGGUAAGUGAUGCUUAUGAAUCAUUAACAAGUGAGUUAGAUGAGGAAUGUGAUAUUUAUACAUGUGAUUACCCAUGAUUUUUCAUUGAUGAGUUGGUUAUAUUUACUUCAUGUAUUAUAAGUUUAUUUGUAUAUGGCUUACUAAGCUUUUAAAGCUUACUGUGUUUAUUUUUCACUAUUUUAUAGAUUAUCGAAGCUAGUUCAGACUCGGGGAUCAUCGGGAAACGUUAUCACACUAUCGAUCAUCUUGUUGGUACUUUUGAAGCUUUGUAUAUAUGGUAUAUGGCAUGUAUAGGCUAAUGAACUUUUGGUAUGAUUUGAAUUGUAAUUCUAGCCAUGUGAGUUGGCUUGGAAAUGGUAUAUCUUGUGUGAUGGAUGGGGGCAAUUUCAGUUUGUGUGAUGAUAAGAUGCUGUCCAAAUUGGUGCUUAAUUGCUGUCCAUUUUUUAGCAUACUAAUUCUGUCCAAAUUAGUGCUUAAAUGCUGUCCAUUUUUUGGCAUAUUAAUGCUGUCCAAAUUAGUGCUUAAAUGAUGUCCAUUUUUUUACAAAUCAAUGCUGUCCAAAUGUUGUUACUGUUGUCCAAAUAUUUGUGAAUUAAUGAUGUAUGAAUGUUGCAAAUCAAAGCUGUCCAAAACUGGACAUGUUUCCUAUGAUUACCUAGUGUAAAUGCUUGUUUAAUUGGAGUAUAAAUGUUGUCCAAAACAGGGUAGGUUACCUAUGUUUUGUAUUAUUUUACAUGUUUAUUGUCCAAAUGUGUUGUCAUUUAUGUGCUUUUAUUUAACUAACUAAGCUGUUCAAAUGUGUUGAUUUUCACUGACCAGUUGUGAUGUUGUUAUGCUGCUAUAUUGUGUAAUUUAGUUGCUAUCCAAAUGGAGGAAAACGUAUUGACUUAAAUGCUAUAUGUUGCUGUUGUUUAUUGAAUUAACUGCGAAAUGUUAAGUGCUGCUCGAAAAAAAAAUAAGGAUUGUCCGAAUGCUGAAAUUUCGACAUUUAUCUUUUGAUUAUAAUGUGUCUCGCUGGGUUAGUAUGGCUUGGUAUGCGAAGGUGUAUAGGUUUAUAAAAUAGAAAAAUUAGUAAUUUGUUAAUGAAAUAAAUGUAUGCAAAUGGAUGGUUUGGCAUAUGCUCAGUAUAUGAAAUGUAAUGAUAUAUGCUUGAAUAUAUUUUAAGUAUUCGAAUGACAUGAAUUUAAUGGUAAUGAAAUGGUUGAAUUUCGAAGCAUGAUUUAAAAAUGUGAUUUAAUUAGUAAAACAUGUUUGUUUAAAUUAGCUAUGUGUUUUAAUUAUGUGUUUUAUUGAUAUGGUUAAAUAUUGAAAUAAAGUUCGAUUAUGUGAAAUGAUUAGUAAGGCAUGAUUGAUUUCUGGUUGGUUAUAAGAAUCUAAUAUGCGAAUUUGGUUUAUGUGAAUAGGAGAAUUGAGGCUAAUUGAGUUUAGAAAAUUUUGUAAAGAAAUGUACAUAAAUUUGUGCAUGAAAUGUAAUAACUGAUUGUGCUUAACUAUGUUUUGUUCGGUAAUGCCUUGUAACCCUAAUCUGGUGACACAUACGGGUUAGGGGUGUUACAGUGAAUGACUGGACUAACAGUACAUCAGACUGACCCAAAAAAAUAGAUCCUGAAUCCGUUUAUGAGUUUAUUCACUUGUGACGUUCAUAGUGUGGGGUACCUAAAUCCUGAGUGGAUGAAGGACUAUGUAUGUGUGACUCGUAUACUUUGAUGUAAGUAAAAGCCUGAGUUCGAAUAGAUAAGGAACCAAAAGCUGAUGCGUUAGAUGUAUGAUUUCUACAGUAUGUAGCUUCAUUUACAACAGUGGAAUUCAUAGCCCGGGACAUGGGCAAAUGAUAUCCUCUCAUUGGCAUUACAUGGUAGAUGAAAAAUAAAUGUGGCCACGGGUUGUUCAUCUUUGUGAUGGAUAACUUGAUUAUUAUUUGAUAGUAAUUGACUUUUCAUGAAGGAAGAUGUAAUGGUUACUGUGAGAUAAAAUAGGAUCAUAUUGGAGAACGGAUAUUAUCUUAAAAGAUUAAGAUAUCCUAUGAGGUAACACAUUUAUGACAAGGUCAUUGGAUGAGCACUGAUCGAGUUGCUUUCGUAAUGGUAUGUCGUUGAGGAGAGCUUAGUCACGAUACUAUAAUGGUUACUUUCUCACUAAAUGAGUUUAUAAUUAAUAGGCGAAAAGCUAGAACCUAAUUAUAAAUCAUUUGAGCCUCAAUUGCGUAUGUCCAAUUGGUUCCUCAUCUAGCUCGUUGAAACUAGAAAUAAAUUGAAUGUUGAAUCAGAUGAACAGAAAUGAAUAGAAAUGGUGAAAUAAAGAAAUAGGAACAUUUGGAAAUGGUUAUGGUUUUCUCCAAAAUGAAAAUGGAGAAAUGGAAUUAUUUAGAAAUGAAUGUGGUUUUCUUCAAAAUGAAAAUGACCUGAAAAAUAAAUUUAUGUUUUUCAAAAUAAAUGAAGUUCGAAUAUGAAAAUAAAUCAUUUGGUCAUGGUGAACCGCUACGGAAAUAUUAAAUAUAUUUUCCAACAAAUUUUUUUACGGUAAAGUCGACAUGAUUUUAAGGAAAUUAGAAUUGGGUUGAGAAAAUUAUUUAAUUAAAAAUAUAUUGAAGUUUAUUUUUGGGAAAUGGAAAACAAAUAUUGGGUUGGACCAAAUUAUGAAAUAUUGGGUUAAAAGCCCGGGAAGUACUUAUAAUUGGACCCAAUAUGGAAGAGGCUCAAAAGCCCUUAUGUUAUAAGGUAGGACGGCAAACCUUAGUAUUAUUAACUAGGGUUGUCGCCACCAACAUCCUAGUUAGACUAGAAGUUCAUUUUUCUAGUUAAAAUAAACUUUUACAAUUCAACAAGGGUUUUACCUUCUCUCCCUAUAAAUAGAUGGCACCGGUAGGGCCUUUUACACAACUUUCAGAUACUGUUAUUCUGCUCGAAAAUAGAGAGACUUUUAUUAUCUAAGAAUUAAAUAUAUUUUCCGGAAUAAUGAUUAUGUCGUUUUCUGUUUGAGAAGAGAACUUUUGUUUUCACCCCAAAAAGAAAAAAAAUUAUUUCUAGUUAUGUGUUUAAUUCGAAUUGUUCAACCCUACACUCGAAGCAAUUCAUGGUACGAGAAUAGCGGAGAAGUUUGUUUGGUUGAAAGCUAGGAAUUCAAUGAUCCGUCUAUCCGAAAACACAUGUGCGAAUUCAGUGUAGGUUUUAUUGCUAUAAAUAUCACAAAUCAGGCCGGUGUUUAAAAUUUUUAUUUUCCGUUGUGCAAUAAAACCUUUUUAGAACCGAAUUUUUCCAACAAUUAGUAUCAGAAUGUCAGGUUGUGCUAUGUUUAUAGUGUAAAUCGAGACCAAAAUUCUCUCUUCUUCAUGUAUGAUUAUAUUUAAUAAGAUGUGACAUUUUUUUAAUUGUAUGCAUGCUCAGGGAAAUGUAUGCAAAUGAAUGCAUAAUAUAUAUUUUUUUUUAUAGAUGAUAAAGUAAAUUUACCAAAAUUUUGCAAUAAAAAAAAUACUCAUUUGAUAGUAAUAUAACUAAAAAAAAUUGACAUUGUAAUAUACAUGAAUUUAGCAAAAUAAUUUUAACACAAUUAAUAGUUGAACUUAAAUUUUGAAAUAUAAAAAAAUAAAGAAACUAAACUUUAAAAAAUAAUAAUACAAAGACUAAAUUUCAAAAUUUUCGAGAAAUACAUAAACAUAGAGGCAUAUUCUAACCUUUUAUACGAAAACUAAAAAAAUAUUACACUUUCCAAAUAUUUACAUUUUCCUAUUUUUCUCAAGUUUCUUUGUUCUUUUUUCUCUAAUACUGAUUUUAGUCCUAAUAAAUUGCUAUACGAAAAAUGAUUAACAUACGGUAUAGAAUAUGAUGUGAUAAUACAAAUAUUUUAAAAUCUAUUUAUGUAUGCAUGUAACCCUUAUAAUUAACACAAAUACAUUGCAAACAUUUUAAUGGUGACUUCUUUAGAAAAGUCUGGAGUUUGUUUUAAUAGCUUUUACAUUGUUGUGAUUUUGAAUUUUGACAUUCACUCCAUCCAUCAUAUUUAUCAUCCAUAACGUUCAUGUGACCCGCCAAAACAACUCAACCAAAAAGAAAGGGUGGGGGGAGGAGAGAAUCCAAACAACAUAACUUCCAGAACUAGUCUGAUAGGUUUUCAUCUGAUUUCAGUAUCCACUAAUUUUGCACAAAAACAAAGAAUAGAUAUUAUUCAUAUAAUAAGUUUGUCAAAAUGUGGUCUAAAAGUAAUGAGAAAAAUCUGGGAGGGAACUGUACCAUAUGACAAAAUGAUGUAUAAAUUGAAACCACUAAUGAACAUUGCGACAACAAAAUUUAAAAAACUUGAAAAGGUCGAGUUGAGGGCAUUCAACUACAACCAGCUCCGUAAUCUGCCAAAAGCUCAAUGUAGCCAUCGAUCCCUUUAUUUCCAAGUGAGAAGUUAAGCAAAUUGUCAGUUCAUCACAACUACAAAAAAAUCCUAGUUAUGUUGAUGAAACCAUGCUUACCUAAAGGUUUGAAGUAGAUCUAGCAACACUUUUGAAGCUUUUUUCCAUAGAUGCUCAUUGUGCAAUAUUUUGAUUUAAGGCAAAAACAUGGCCACUGCUCGUUGAUUUAUAGUUUACACGAAGCAUUGCAGACGAUUGGUCAUUUUUGAGAUGCAGCUGCAGUUUCACUCAACGAUGAGCCUAAUCGAAGCAUAAGAGGAUACACAGGACUGAACUCCUUGUCUCCCCUAACCCUAACCUUUGUAGCAUAAUCAUCUAGAGUUGCCUUGAUUCCUUUCCAGAUCUGAUCUUCCCCUUGAGAAUCCAGCCACAAUGAAUAUUGCAAAUGAGUAAGCUUGUUCCUCUGGAGUGGUGAUUGCAAGUCAUCAGGGCCUCGGGAAUAAAGAUGAUGAAGUAUAACACUUGGAGGUAAAUCUUGGAGAAGAGGAGAUGCCCCUAGUUGAGACGUUUCCAAGAAGAUAAGCGGUCGGAAUGCUCUAAGAGCUCGGUAUGGUGCACCUAGUUGUUCUACAGGGAACAAAUUCUGGCCCACAGCUAAUUCUAGCUCAGCCAUGUCUCUGGCCAUUCUCAGCUUGCCUGAUUCUGAAAGGGGUCUGACAAGAGAAGCAUGCCUGAUAAAGAGUAUCAAAACCCUUGAAGCCAUGCUCCUAACAAGCCUAGUGCAUAUGGUUUCUGUUCCUGCAGUUGUAGCGUUGGCUGAAGAUGGCAACAGCCUUGAUAGGAACUCACGACGAAAGGGAAGAAUGCACUUUUGCAACUCCUCCAUGUAAGGCGAAGCAUUGUUGUCCAUAGCAGCAUCCAUGCCAAGGGCAGAAAAGUUCUGGUCAUGGAUUUGCAAGAUGCAAGACUCCAGCCGAUCAAUCAUUGCCUGGAACAAGGAUGUUAUAGAAUCACAAGCAACGCCAUAUAUUGCACCAAGUGAAGGUGACAAUACAUCUGCAGCUAUAGUUGGAAGCCCCAUAAUCAUAGAAGUUACGCGAGUAUGAAUUUCUUGUAGAUGCUGACAUAAUGCAAAAUUCUUGACCUGAGCUGCCGUAGCAGGACCAGAUACUUGGCGUGCUUCAGGACCAGUGGAUAUCUGCCAGUAUAAAACGUAACACACACAUUAUUUAUAUGUGUGUUUUCAUAGUGAAAUUUAUGUACUAUGUAACACAGGCACACAGUUCUACUAGUUGAUAUACUCCUAUAAGAUUUGUAAAGGCUUGGGUUUUGAGGAAAGAAAACCUUGAGAAAUUAAAAAAUGGGAUUAAACCUGUCACUAACAAUCAAAUCAAGUCCUUGAUUACAUCAAAUAGUGUUCGAGAAAAUGCUAAAGGCUUAUUAUGCAUUACUAUCACUUCAUGCCUAUGAUAUAUGCCUAAACAAAUUACCACACAAAACAGAGAAUUUUGUACUUGUAAGACACAGAAGACAUGACAAACAGUCAGAAAAGCUGAAAAAAAGAAAGGGAAAUGUUUUAACCAGUUAGCUUCAGUAGAUAAUCCACCGUAGUAUUGCAUAAAACAUUAUUGGCAGAAACACAUUGUAUGCUAUAUAUAUUUCUCAAGUUCAGACUUUAGAAGUAAUAAUAUCAAAUAGCAUUGUAACUUUUAGUGAUUUUUGUUUAUUUGAUGAUAUGAAAUUUAAACAUUGCCCCAUUUAGUUAGGUCAUGAAUUGCAAAAUAAGAUGCAAUAAAAUCACAUUGGGACUGUAUUUCCCAAAUAUAACAAACUACUUCCUAUGACACUGCAGGGAUGAAAUACUAACAAUAAGUUCUUAGGCAUAAACUUGUUGUAUAUAUAAACCAUAGCAGAUUUAGGUAAGGCAAUGAGGCAGUAACCUCCUUCAUCCUCCUCUGUCCUGGUACCAAUUCCAAAUCAAGGCUAUAAUGUAUUUAGUAUAUGCUAAUGAAUAAUUUCUCACAUAACAGAUAUUCUAUUCAGUAAAGACAAAAAGAUUUUGCACACAGAGAAAUGGGAUACCAGAUAUUCAGCUCGUUCUGCAAUCAGCAGCAAAACUUUACUAAUUUCACGCAGCACAAGAAGCGUUAAUCGAGCAUCCAACUGCACAGCUUCGAUCUCUUCCUGAAUGCGAGAAAGAAUUCUAGAGAUCUGUUCCUUGGAGGGAACACUACCACGGCUGGAGACUGGAAAAACAGAAUUAACAAUAUCUGACAGCCGGCUUAAGCAGCUACCUAAGAAAGCCAUCUGGAAUGUUUCAAUAGCUACAACCAUUUGGGCUUUUCCUUCUAAAGUUAUUGCUGGUAACACCCCCUUGACAUCAGUGUCACGUGAAAUUCCAUCAAGAAGGUUUUCCAUCAUAGAGUAGAGCUUCGGAUAACCAUUUGUGAAUAUCUCUUUGACAAAACUUGAUGCAGUAAAAGCAGACUUCAUUUGAGUAGCAAAAGCCUUAACAAGAGCUUCCCAAACUCGAUCAGUUGGCAUGGGAUCACCCUCCUACACGGAACAGCAUAAAUAAUUACAGUCAGGCAGGGAACAGCAGUUUCAUGAUGUGCCAAUUCCUGUGUUGUUAUGACUCUUCUUUUUCAUGAACGUAGAGAUAUACACAUAGAAAGACUUGGAAAAAAAAACAGAACAUACCCAUGUAGGACUCAUAAUAGUAUCUAACUCUAAAGUAGUCUAAUUCAAUUAUGAAUAGAAUUACCAAGACAGAGAAUAAAAAUGAAAUGAAAUUGGGGGGGGGGGGGUUACCUUAAUGACUUCAUCAAGCAGCAAGACAUGUGUAAAAGGGUCUCUCUUCUUAGACAAAACCCUCUGCAAAUGCCAAAUUGCGACCACUAUCGAAUGCAACUGAUCCAUACAACUUGCCAUCCUCUGCCACAACGCCUCUCUUGCCUUCCCACUGCCCCCAAUCUGUGGUGUUCCACUCCCUCUAAUACCUCCAGGACCAAAUCCGCCACCUCCACCACCAGCUGAAAUGGCCUUCAUAUCCAACGCCACACUCACACUCUUCACACCCAUUCCCUUAUAUUUACUCACCAAUUGCUCCACCGUCGCUCUCAACUCCCCAAGAUUGUAAAACACUUGCAACCCAGUUCCCACUUCAGCCUGAUUCAACCCUUCCAUCCCCUUUUCCAAAACUUUCAUAGCUUCACUUCUUAACUUAGUCCCUAUCUCUUUGACCGCAUUGAUUUCCUCGUCGAUCAUAUCAAUACCGCCAAGAUCAUAUUCCUCGUACAAGGUCAAGAUAUCAUUAUGCAACUGAGCAGCCUUAGCAAGAUCCAACUUAUCAGGCUCAGCUUCAGCAGAAGCCAUAAGGUCCCGUAGCUUUUUGGAAAGGCGAAUAGCACGUAUGGAGUGGGAGAGAAGCUCGGAAGUCCUAUGCAAAUUGGAGAGCUGGACAGUUUUGGAGAGGAUUGAAUUAUGGGGUUCAGAGAGCUCAGAUCGGACACGACGAACCGAAGAUUGAAGAGAAGAGAUGGAGGAUCUAAGAGUGGAGAGGGAAAUCUCAGCGUUGUUAAGAGAAGAUAACUGUGUGAGGAGGAGAGGGUGGUUGGAAAGGACGUGGGAACGGAUUUGGGAAUCGAGUUGGCGGAUGGCUUGGAGGAGGUGUUCGGCGGUGGAAGCAGGGGAUCCUGAGGACAGUGCGGCAGAGGAGAAGGAGGUGGAAGAAAAAGAAGGGGAAAGGAAGGGGGAAAGGAUUGGAUCUUUGGCGAAAGAGUCAAGAACGGAAGAUGGGGGAGGAGGAUGAUGAGGAGAAGCGGCGGUGGAAGAAGCAGGAGGGGGUUUGAAAGUGGAGAGACGGUGGAGAGGGAAGGAGGAUGUGGUGGUGGGGGAUCUUUGGAGUGCGGCUGGAGAAACCAUUUUCGUUUUUCUGGGGGGGGGGGGUGGAUCUAUCAAAUGAGAAAGGAAAUUUAGGAAUGGGUGGCAGGAAAAUGCAGAAUCAGAGUGAAAAACAACGGCCGUCCAAACGUAUCUCCGUUGGCAGUGGCCAAGACACCACUUUCAUGUAAAACGAAACGAGUCGUUUAUUUCUUAAGUAGGCUUAGAUAACCACCUCACUCCUCACUUCUGCCUUCAUAUUUACCCAUUUAUUCAAUUUUAUUUUACUAAAAAUAAAUUCAAUCUUAUAAAUUAAAUUAAAUCAAUAUAUAUAAUAAAACUAUUGAGCCUUAUUGUUAUUACAAUAUAAUUACAACUUUCCUACUUUUUUUUUAAGUUAUUUUCAAUAAAUUAUUUUUUUUUCACCGGAUUCUAAUAUUUAUUUAUUGGUAUCAUUUUCGUAAUAAUCUUUUGUAUUUUGAGUGAUAUUCUAUUACAACAGUCUUAUUAUUUUUAUACAAAAUUAGAAGUAGAGAAUGGGGUCACACAAUUUAAAUUCACAUCAAGUAAGUAUUUGACAAAAGUUUUAACUAUCACCCCAUAUAAGUUGAGGUUGGGUAAAAUUAUGUUUUAAAAUAAAAUUACAAUUAUAAUUACAAAUAAUACAUAUCCAAAUUAAUUAUAAUCAAAAUUAAACAUUACAGUGAUAAAACCAAUCAUGUCGUAUGUGUUUUAGCUUAUGUCUAUAUAUCACUCUAAAAUAAGAUUUUUCCUAUUUUGCUCACUCUAAUUAAGAUAAUUGUUUAAACCAAUUACCGUUGUUAAAAAUUCUAUUAAUCCACUAACAGAUUGCUGACGUGACAUAUGAGCCAAUUGAAUAACAUGUGACACUUCUGACUGAACUAACCAGGCCACUCACUCUUUGUCACCCCAUCUGACUGCUUUAUUUCAAUUUUCACUUUUUUGAACAUUUGUAGGUUGGGUUAUAUGUAUUAAACAUGUAGCUUAACUUCAAUCACCUUGAAAUUGGUUAUCUCCCCUUUUCACUUUACAAGUAAUCUCACCAUCUUUAUUUCAAUCACUCAAACAACCUCAUUUGUAAUAGUAUAUAUGUUGGGUUCAUUAUUGUAGUAUGCUAAUUCUCACUACAUCAAAGGAUUGAUUCUUAUACUGCUCUACAGUGUUUUUGGAGCUUGCUUUUUUAUAUCCAAAACUCCUCUAACCAAGAAUAAAUUAGCAUAUCACUUCAAACUUUCAUUUUUAACUUCACAUCACAAAAUUAACAAUUAACUUCAAAGUCUAGAAAAGUAGGUAAAUUUUUUAGAUUUUUUUUCUUCUUUCACAACUAGAUUCCAAUAUUACGGAACUAAAAAGUUAAUGAAUACAUGAUUUACUAGAAUAUGAUAAAUUAUUGUUUGAAACUUUCAAUAGGGAUGUCAUCAUAUACAUUUUAUUUUGUAUGAGGUGUUUGCUUCUUGAUAUGAAUAAAGAAGGGAGUCAGAUAAGGUAGUGGAGAGUGAUGAUAAGCUCUGAGAUAAUCUAAAUAGAGAGUGGCAAGACAAAGAAAGAAAGAAAAAAUUUAAAACAAUUACAGAAAGCAUCUUAAGCUUUAGUCAAAAGUUUAAAAAAAAAAAAAAAAGGUCACGAGUCAUCACUCAAUUGCUUAAUGUGUCACAUUAGCAAUCCAUUAGUGGAUUAAUGAAAAUUUUAAUAAUAGUGACUAGUUCAAACAAUUAUCUUAAUUAAAGUGACUAAAUUGAAAAAAUAAUAAAGUGAUCAAUUUUUAAAUGCCAAAAAAAUAAAAUAUUUACGAGACUAGACCAAUUGAAUGAAAAAUGACGGGAAUGGGCCAAUUUUUAAAAAACACUUCUAGCUGUAAGUUUUUUAAGGUGAUACGCAAAAAAGUGCUUCCAGCAAGAAGUUAUUUCUGCCAAGUCAGCAAAAGCACUUCCAACAGGAAGCUAUUUUCCCCUGAUUCUUCCAAUGUCAUUUUUUAUACGGUUAGGGUUUUGCUUAUUUAGAGUAGGGUUUAGCGGGUUUUUUGAAAUUUUUAAUUAAUUAUUUUGUAAUAAUUUUUGAGAUGUUACGUUAUAAUUUAAUUUAAAAUUAAAAAACAUCGUACUUUUACACCAAUCGUAUAUUCGAUUCCCGGAAAAUUAAAUUGGAUUCAUAAUCGAAACUCCAUCUAUUUUGUAUUAGAAAAAAAUAUUUUAGGAAAAUGUUAAGAUAAUUUAAAUAAAAUUGAAAGAGAAAAAAAAUUAGAGAAAUUAAGUGGAUUUUGAGAGAAAUUUGAGAGAGAAUUAAUAAUAUUAGAGAGAGUUGAGAUUGAAUUGAAAAAAAAAUGGAAUCGGGAGUGUAGAAUAUUAAUUAAAUAGCCGUUGAAAGUAGGUGACCGUUAGGAGAAAAGAGCUUCCUGUUGGAAGCGCUUUUACUAACUUGACAAUUUGUUAACUUGGCAGAAAGAGACUCCUAGAAAAGCACUAACUUGACGGUCUGUUAACUUGGCAAAAAAAGACUCCUGCUGGAAGCGCUUUUGCUAAAAAAUGGCGAAGAAAACUUCCAGCUGUAAGUACUUUCCUAAGUAUCUCUUGAAAAAGCUCUUAGCUGGAAGCGUUUUUCAAAAAUUAAUUCCUGUCAUUUUUCAUCCAAUCGACCUAGUCUCAUAAAUAUUUUAUUUUUUUGACAUUUAAUAAAAAAAAAUUAGUCUUGUUUUAGAGUGAAUUUGAAUGUAGUUUAAUCAUUUCACAUUUUCUCAAGUCAUGUAUAUUUUUAAUUUAAGACUAUUAUUCUUUGUAUUUUUAUCGAGUUAAGGAAACCAAAGAAAAACGAGAUAACCGAAAAUGAUAUAAAUUCAAACCGAAGAUUCGAUAACAAAAAGACAAUUUGUACAUCUCAUGAAAGAUGAAACAGCUAACGCUAACAAUGGAUGAUUGAGGGGGAAAACCAAUUUACAGAGCAACGACGCGAAGCCAUUAUCAUCGAUGCAAAAUGGCAAGAAUCAACUUCACUUUCUCAAAUACAAAACUCUAGUCGGUAAAAACGAACGUCGACGACGUUGAGUAAGCGCUGUCAUUUCGGACACAACAAAUUUACCUACACAAUCCAAACAAGCCUUUUGUCACGUUGCAGAUUUAAGAAACAAAUUGAAAUUAAUUUGGAUUUUAUGAAGCAUCAGUGAACCAACCAGAUAACAAUAUAAGACUAAGAUGCCUUGUAUUGUUAAGGGUUCGAAUUAUCAGAUUGUAGAGCAGCCAACGCUCGAAUUUGAAGGAAACAACAAAAGUAAAUGGGUCGAUAACGAUAUUUUAUUUGUUUUGUUUUGACUAUGAAUAUGGGAAUUUUCAAUCAACAAUCCCCAAGUCGCUUUGGGUGUUCAAAAGUUGAGAUGUCCGCGCAUACCAAGAAGAGAUUUAGGCACUUGCAAGCUUUGGAUUCGGAUAUUGAUAUGUGCCUUCGUUCACAUGUUUGGAUAUAUAUGUGAAGCACUAGCGUAGAAUAAGGUACUUUGAAAAGUUGGAUUAACAUACUCGAUGAGAAAGAAUCAAUCAGAAGGGAAGGAAACGUGUGUAUGUAUAUAAUGUACUUCAUACAUACAUAAACACAACAUAAACCCCUUUUCUCUUUUAAACAUUCAACCCUUUCCCAUCAAACCAAAGCUCAACACUGUUUUCCAUUUUUAUAUAUUUUCAAUCCAUCAUUCUGACCAUCAAUAUUUGACAUCCUUGAAACCAAAAGUCUCCAUGAUCUUGGAGAAGCUAUUUAUCUAAACCCGAUCGAAUGAGUUGCAACUGUAUAGAAUGGAAUCAAUUCGUGUUUACGAAACGUCGGAUUUCCAAUGUUUUUAAGAUUAAAACACAACAAUAAACAACUUCCUUCUAACCUCACUUAUCUAACCCUUUAUACACUUAUAUCACCAACAGAGUUUCAUGCCGGUUAAUCUAUCAAGUAGGUUAAGUUUUUGAAGAAUCUAUGUUACCUGGACUCUAAUUACCGGGUAUCAUAUCCCGUACCUAUAUUGGAAUAUGUGUUGGACAUGGAUAAGGAUGAGUCAAGGUAAAAUAAUAUUUACAUUUUUACCAUUUCAACAGUCUUUCAAAUUUAGUAAAUACAAAGUAAAAUUACAAAUUUAAAUCCCAUAAUAUUUACAGUUCAAGAAUUCUAAGUUUUAUCCUAUUGUCUAGUGAUAAGUGCAGAAACUUCAAAAUCAAUGCAACAGUAAGAUUAUAAUAUUACAUGAAAUGCACAUGUAUAUACCUUGGUAAGGCUUGCAAACAAAAGAAUAACUCAACUAAUAUAUAUAUACCGAUUUGCAGAUACAUACAUAUGUAAAGAAGAUAAAACAGUGGGAGAAAAAAAAGGGCUAAAAACAACCGAAUAAAGGUCAAUUUCAUGCAACCAAAACAGUUGAGAAAAAGCAAUUUAACAUCAAACACGUAGAGCAGAAUAGCACUGAGCAAGAAAAACUGAGAAACCAAACCGAAUUUUUUUUAUUUAAUUUUACAUUUUAUGAUCUAAAAAUAAAUAUUUUAUAUUUAAAAUAGUGAAAAUAACUUGAAGUUUUAAUAUAAAAAAUUAUUUUUCAAAAAUUAUUGAUUAUUUUUAUUUACUUGAACUUUUUUUUCCUGGAAAUAUUUAUGGAAAAGAUUUGAAAACUUUAUCAAAUAAUGCCCAAAAGUUAUAAAACAAAGCUCAUUUUGUUAAAAUAAGUCCAAAAACCCAGUUCCGAAAACUAGUAUAAAAAACCAAGAAUCGAGCUGAAUUGUCAAACCUUGAUUUAGCUAUAAAAUAAUCACUGUUGUACCUAUUCUAAAUACUAAAACUACAGAAACCAUCUGCAAUAAUAAGGCAUCAAUAAUAGGUUCAUGGCUGACAUGGGAAAGUGAUACGAGAUCAAAGGCCCGACAAAUGCGUUCCAAACUAAAUGGGACCAUCCAGGAAUUUGUUAGUAAGGCCUUAGAUGCGUACACAAAAGAAAGGGAAAAUCAAGAUUUCAAAUAUUGGGAAUCUUGGUCCAAGACACCAAAUCUUGCAGCCAAAGCGCAUUGGAUCUCCAUUACGAGCAUCAACGAUUCAAUUUCGGUAGGAGAUGGAUCACAAGCCCAAAUUCUUGAGGGCAAGGCCCAAUAAGAAGAUUCCAAGCCCAAUCAAGAAAUCCACCCAUACUUAGUUGAAAAUCAGGCCAAAUUGUCAAAGUGGCCCAAGUUGUAAAGUUUUAUUUUUAUUUAUUUAUUUAUUUAUUUUAUUUAGUUUAAAUUUUUAUAUUCAGUCCAAGAGUCCCAAAUAAAAGACCCUUGGCCGAAUUUCCAUAUUAAAAUAAUUAAGAGUUUUUUUUAGUUUUAGUUUUAGUGUUCUAAUUAAAUUAGGAAAAUAUUUGAAAGGCCUAUUUAUAUGGCUUGGCCAGCCACCCUACAUUACAUUAUAAUUACAUUGAAAAUUUCAGAUUUGAUUUGAGUGAAAAUUCUCUUUGAGUUCUUUAAGGAUUUUCUCUUGAGUUUUCUUUAGAAGUUGUUUUAACAAUCUUUUUGAUUGUGGGAGCCAUCUUCAACCUUCUUCUUACCAUUGAUAUUCUUUGGAGGGGAGAUUAGAGCCGUUUGAAGGGAGUUGUGAGAUCUUUCGGGAUUUCAAGGCUUCUUAGGACUUAUCUUUUAAUUUCUUAUUGUCAAUUCUUUCUUUAUUUCUGCUUGUGCCGAAUCUUUAUCUAAUUUAUUUUCUGUUCUUAUUGUGUUUUCAGCCUUUUUCUAUCUUAAGGAAUUAGCCCAAAAAUCCCCAAUUUCUAGGGUUCUUGCCGAUUCAUCCAUACUCUUUUUGGGAGAAAUUAGAUUGCCGAAAUUUGGGGAAAACUAUCUGGGUGUUCAAUUGGGCAGAAUCGCAAUCUCUUCUAGGGUUUCAAGAUUCCUUAUUAACACUUAUUUCUAUUCUCUAUUUGAUUCUUUACUGUUUUUGGGAUUUUAUUUCAAAUCUGAAAAUUUAAAAAUCUAAUCUUUUAAUUUUCUGUUUCGUUUCAGAUCUAAUUGUUUAGGGUUUUCGUAGGAGUUUCUCGUGACUUGGCAACUCGAUCUUGGUCCGCGCGCAACCCCGUAUCAGAAAGGCUAGGAAGAAUGUGAUGCAUAUGUAUGAUACUGUGUAGUAAGGUGCCAAAUACAGUUCAAACAAAAGCAAAGAAUCAAUUUAACAUUCUGCGAGAGCAUUGAAAGUAAAAGAAACUUCAACCUGAAACCUAAAAGACUAGAAGUUUUCGACUUUAGAUUACAUGAUUCCUUAGCACUAGCUACAAAGGAAUCAGCUUCAAACACCUUAUGAUGAUGUCUAUAGGAUACAAUGGCUGAUGUAAAUAAGCCACCAUGGAAAUAACCUCUUCAAAUGCAGAAAUCAGAUUAAUUAAACUCGCAUAUCAUUUUUGUCACAAACAAGACUAUAACAUACUUAAAUACCUUGGAACACUUCAACAAACAAACAAAAACUUCCAAGCACCUCAUUACAUCACAUAACAUUAAAAAAUUCCAGUAUUUAUGCCCCUUUUGCUAUUCUCGAAAUAGUAAAAGGUCUGACAAACCCCACACAUACUUGCCAUAUGCACUACCACUAAUAUUUCUAAGUUCUAAACCCACAAGGUUUUACUUAUAUGAAAUUUUAAAAUGCAUAUGCAGUGAUCUAAAAGGAUAGCAAUGGUCAACUAAACAACUAGCAUCACACAAACAAACAAAAAUCAAGACCAUUCCCUAAAUUAAG
rnacentral:lncRNA from 1 species